rnacentral:rRNA from 1 species
UGAUGCAGCGACGCCGCGUGGGGGAUGACGGCCUUCGGGUUGUAAACUCCUUUCGCUAGGGACGAAGCUUUUUGUGACGGUACCUAGAUAAGAAGCACCGGCUAACUACGUGCCAGCAGCCGCGGUAAUACGUAGGGUGCGAGCGUUGUCCGGAAUUACUGGGCGUAAAGGGCUCGUAGGUGGUUUGUCGCGUCGUCUGUGAAAUUCCGGGGCUUAACUCCGGGCGUGCAGGCGAUACGGGCAUAACUUGAGUACUGUAGGGGUAACUGGAAUUCCUGGUGUAGCGGUGAAAUGCGCAGAUAUCAGGAGGAACACCGAUGGCGAAGGCAGGUUACUGGGCAGUUACUGACGCUGAGGAGCGAAAGCAUGGGUAGCGAACAGGAUUAGAUACCCUGGUAGUCCAUGCCGUAAACGGUGGGCGCUAGGUGUGAGGGUCUUUUCACGACUUUCGUGCCGUAGCUAACGCAUUAAGCGCCCCGCCUGGGGAGUACGGCCGCAAGGCUAAAACUCAAAGGAAUUGACGGGGGCCCGCACAAG